AGUGAACGCUGGCGGUAGGCCUAACACAUGCAAGUCGAACGGCAGCACAGUAAGAGCUUGCUCUUACGGGUGGCGAGUGGCGGACGGGUGAGGAAUACAUCGGAAUCUACUUUUUCGUGGGGGUUAACGUAGGGAAACUUACGCUAAUACCGCAUACGACCUACGGGUGAAAGCAGGGGAUCUUCGGACCUUGCGCGGUUGAAUGAGCCGAUGUCGGAUUAGCUAGUUGGCGGGGUAAAGGCCCACCAAGGCGACGAUCCGUAGCUGGUCUGAGAGGAUGGUCAGCCACACUGGAACUGAGACACGGUCCAGACUCCUACGGGAGGCAGCAGUGGGGAAUAUUGGACAAUGGGCGCAAGCCUGAUCCAGCCAGACCGCGUGGGUGAAGAAGGCCUUCGGGUUGUAAAGCCCUUUUGUUGGGAAAGAAAAGCAGCAGGUUAAUACCCCGCUGUUCUGACGGUACCCAAAGAAUAAGCACCGGCUAACUUCGUG
rnacentral:rRNA from 1 species